rnacentral:rRNA from 1 species
GUGCAAAGGUAGCAUAAUCAUUUGUCUAUUAAUUGUAGACCUGUAUGAAAGGCAAAAUGAGAGCCCAACUGUCUCUUAUAACAAAUCAAUUAAACUGAUCUCCUAGUACAAAAGCUAGAAUACCAACAUAAGACCAGAAGACCCUGUGAAGCUUUAACUAACCUAUUAAAUCCAAUAAUGGCUACUUUCGGUGGGGCGACCUUGGAAUAAAAAAGAACUUCCAAUAACAUGACUUCUCAUAAAAUAGGCAGACAAGCCACACUAGAUCCAGUAUUACUGACAAUUGAAAUAAGUUACUCCAGGGAUAACAGCGCUAUCUUCUUUAAGAGCCCAUAUCAAAAAGAAGGUUUACGACCUCGAUGUUGGAUCAGGGCACCCCAGUAAUGCACCCGUUACUAAAGGUUCG